rnacentral:misc_RNA from 1 species
UCGCUUCGAUCAACGAUGUCUCUUCGGCGACCGCUCGUUUCCUGGCGUUCUUGGAAUCAACGGACCAGUCAGGUCCGAUUUGCGGGACGCCGCCGUCUUCGCUUCUCUUUCUUCAUCCGGACAAGGCGCAGGGUUGCCUCUGGCAGCGAUAAGCUGGCCUCUGGCAGAUCUGAGCGCGGGUCCUUCGGGCCUGUAGCUCAGGUGGUUAGAGCGCACCCCUGAUAAGGGUGANGUCGGACGUUCGAGUCGUCCCAGGCCCACCAGUCAUCUUGCCCGACAGUCAUGGUUGCCGUUCACGGCGAUGGUGGGUUGUCGGUCACGUUUCCUGUCCCAAGGGGCCAUAGCUCAAGUUUGGGAAAAGCGCSUUSYUUUGCAAGCAUGAAGUUCGUCCGUUCCAUCCCCGGUCCGUUCGGGUUCAACNAGGCAGGAUGUUUGGGGCGAUCAGCGGAAKUCGGGUUUUCAACAAGAGAUUAACGUUGGUUCGGAUCCCCAAGGAUGGACCGGGCGUGGAUGUUUGAAAUUCGUGGAAGGAGGGAAUGUUUUUCGAACGGAUUGAAGUCUCAUCAGGGCUUCGGAUCAACCAGUGCUGGGCGUGACCGCGCCGGCCGUCGGGAGCAUUCGGCAAGCAAGUUCAUCGACCGAAAGGUUGGUGGACUGGUCUUUCUUGUUUUUGGAUCGGGCCGCUCUGCCGAGGGCGGACAUCGAUCAUGAGAGCAAUCAAGUGUCUUAAGGGCAUUCGGUGGAUGCCUUGGCGCUGAGAGGCGAUGAAGGACGUGGUACGCUGCGAUAAGCCUUGGGGAGCUGCGAACGAGCUUUGAUCCAGGGAUUUCCGAAUGGGGAAACCCACCUUCGACCUCUUGUAUUCUGGUGUCAUCGGCGACGGUGAUGCUGGACUACGAGG